rnacentral:lncRNA from 1 species
UUCAGAUUUGUCAUGUAUCUAUCAAUAUUCCAACAUUGUUGGACAGAUUCAUUGUUUUUCACAGUUCUGUGGGUUGGCUGAAUGGCUCCUCUGCUGUUUUCACCUGGACUGACUUAUGUGGCUGUGUUGAAUUGGAGGGUCCAGGAUGGCCUCAUUCAUAGGAAGUGAUAAAACUGGACUUCAUUAAAAUAAAUAAACACUUUUUUCUUUUCUUUUUUUUUUUUUAGUUAGAAAGACCCUGUAAAGAGCUUGAAAAAAUGAAUUACAGAGUGGGAGAAAUAAUUUGCAUAUCAUAUAUCUGACAAAGAACUUACAUCUAGCAUAUGUAAAAGAUUCUCAAAACUCAAUAGUAAUAAAUAAGGUAUCCAAUUAGAAAAUAGGCAUAUGUGACCUCUCUGUAUUAUAACUUAAACCUCCUGUGACUACAGUUAUUUCAAAUGAAAUAAACAAAACAGUAACGCCUGUUUCUGGCAUAUAAAAUAAUCAGAGAACAUAGAAUUGUACAAAGUUAAAUUAUUGGGCCAUUUACUUAAUUUAAAUAUUUUUAAAUGCGUGUACCCAUUUUGCUUGAAGGUGUGUGCAAGUAUGCUUGUAUUUUUUUAACGAUAAUAUGGUCACAUGAGCANNNNNNNNNNNNNNNNNNNN